rnacentral:rRNA from 1 species
ACGACUCUCGGCAACGGAUAUCUCGGCUCUCGCAUCGAUGAAGAACGUAGCGAAAUGCGAUACUUGGUGUGAAUUGCAGAAUCCCGUGAACCAUCGAGUCUUUGAACGCAAGUUGCGCCCGAAGCCAUCAGGCCGAGGGCACGCCUGCCUGGGCGUCA